rnacentral:rRNA from 1 species
AUUGAACGCUGGCGGCAGGCCUAACACAUGCAAGUCGAGCGGAUGAAGGGAGCUUGCUCCUGGAUUCAGCGGCGGACGGGUGAGUAAUGCCUAGGAAUCUGCCUGGUAGUGGGGGAUAACGUCCGGAAACGGGCGCUAAUACCGCAUACGUCCUGAGGGAGAAAGUGGGGGAUCUUCGGACCUCACGCUCUCAGAUGAGCCUAGGUCGGAGUAGCUAGUUGGUGGGGUAAAGGCCUACCAAGGCGACGAUCCGUAACUGGUCUGAGAGGAUGAUCAGUCACACUGGAACUGAGACACGGUCCAGACUCCUACGGGAGGCAGCAGUGGGGAAUAUUGGACAAUGGGCGAAAGCCUGAUCCAGCCAUGCCGCGUGUGUGAAGAAGGUCUUCGGAUUGUAAAGCACUUUAAGGUGGGAGGAAGGGCAGUAAGUUAAUACCUUGCUGUUUUGACGUUACCAACAGAAUAAGCACCGGCUAACUUCGUG